rnacentral:rRNA from 1 species
AAUCAACGCUGGCGGCGUGCCUCAGACAUGCAAGUCGAACGAUUAAAGCUCUCUUCGGAGAGUGCAUAGAGUGGCGCACGGGUGAGUAACACGUAAGUAAUCUGCCUUUGAGUGGGGAAUAACAGUCGGAAACGAUUGCUAAUACCGCAUAACGCAGCGGCACCGCAAGGUGACAGUUGUUAAAGGAGCAAUCCGCUUAAAGAGGAGCUUGCGGCAGAUUAGCUUGUUGGUAAGGUAACGGCUUACCAAGGCGACGAUCAGUAGCUGGUCUGAGAGGAUGAUCAGCCACAUUGGGACUGAGACACGGCCCAAACUCCUACGGGAGGCAGCAGUGGGAAUAUUGGACAAUGGGCGAAAGCCUGAUCCAGCCAUG